UGCGCAAUACCGGGGUUUCCUUGGCCGCCCACCCUGAGCCGAGCGGUGGAGUUGGGGAUAAACAGGCAGUGGCUGGGGAGGUGAGGGAGGGGGGGCAUUCGCUUUUGGGGGCACCUCAGGUGCCUAGGUUUUCCUUUAGGUUUGUUCUAUCCGAGACGCGGGACUCCCGGGGCCCGGCUCGAGUGUUCCUGUCUAGUAAGAGAAGGUAGCUUUGGCGGAGAGCAGUUCAAGUUGCUAGGAAGGUGCGAGGCUACAGCUCUCCCCCAUGCCGGGCAAGUGGUGCGGUCCUGAGCUUGUCCUGGAGCCUGAACAACGCCUGUGAGAAGCCCGCCGAACGCGGGUUCUGUGAAGAGACGUGGGGAAGAUUCGAUUCCGAGAAAAGGAAAAGCCGGAUUGAAAGGGAGCGAAGCCGCUGAGGGGGAGGGGGCUGCCAAGAUGGCGUCCGCCUCCUCAGGGCCAGCGGCGGCCGGGUUUUCAUCCCUUGAUGCCGGGGCCCCUGCUGGUACCGCAGCAGCAGCAUCUGGAGUCAAGAGAGCCACAGUAUCUGAGGGACCUUCUGCCUCUGUCAUGCCUGUUAAAAAAAUAGGCCAUCGAAGUGUUGAUUCCUCUGGAGAGACUACAUACAAGAAGACAACUUCAUCAGCCUUGAAAGGUGCCAUCCAGUUAGGCAUCACUCACACUGUGGGCAGCCUGAGCACCAAACCAGAGCGUGACGUCCUCAUGCAAGACUUCUACGUGGUGGAGAGCAUCUUUUUCCCCAGUGAAGGCAGCAACCUGACACCGGCUCACCAUUACAAUGACUUUCGGUUCAAGACCUAUGCGCCUGUUGCCUUCCGUUACUUCAGAGAGCUCUUUGGCAUCCGGCCUGAUGAUUACUUGUACUCCCUUUGCAGUGAGCCAUUGAUUGAACUCUCCAAUUCUGGAGCUAGUGGUUCCCUCUUCUAUGUGUCCAGUGAUGAUGAAUUCAUCAUUAAGACCGUCCAGCAUAAAGAAGCGGAAUUUCUGCAGAAGUUGCUUCCCGGAUACUACAUGAAUCUUAACCAAAACCCUCGUACUUUGCUGCCCAAAUUUUAUGGAUUGUACUGUGUGCAAGCAGGCGGCAAGAACAUACGAAUUGUGGUGAUGAACAAUCUCUUGCCUCGGUCAGUCAAAAUGCAUAUGAAAUAUGACCUGAAGGGUUCAACUUACAAGCGGCGGGCUUCUCAGAAAGAACGAGAGAAAACUCUCCCCACCUUUAAAGACCUGGACUUCCUACAAGAUAUCCCUGACGGCCUAUUUUUGGAUGCUGACAUGUACAGUGCUCUGUGUAAGACUCUACAGCGUGACUGUUUGGUGCUGCAGAGCUUCAAGAUAAUGGACUACAGCCUGCUGAUGUCCAUCCACAACAUGGACCAUGCACAGAGGGAGCCCACGAGCAAUGACACACAGUACUCAGCCGACAUGCGCAGACCAGCCCCACAGAAGGCGCUCUAUUCCACAGCUAUGGAAUCCAUCCAGGGCGAGGCUCGACGGGGCGGCACCGUGGAGACUGAGGACCACAUGGGUGGCAUCCCUGCCCGGAAUAACAAAGGAGAAAGACUCCUGCUUUAUAUUGGCAUCAUUGAUAUUCUUCAGUCCUACAGGUUUGUUAAGAAGUUGGAGCACUCUUGGAAAGCACUGGUCCAUGAUGGGGAUACAGUGUCAGUACAUCGUCCAGGCUUCUAUGCUGAGCGGUUCCAGCGUUUCAUGUGCAACACAGUGUUCAAGAAGAUUCCCUUGAAGCCUUCUCCUACCAAAAAGUUUCGGUCUGGCCCGUCUUUCUCUCGGCGAUCAGGCCCCAGCGGCAAUUCCUGCACUUCCCAGCUGAUGGCCUCUGGGGAACACAAAGCACAAGUGACUACAAAGGCGGAAGUGGAGCCAGAUGUACACCUUGGGCGUCCUGAUGUCUUGCCUCAGACUCCACCUUUGGAGGAGAUAAGUGAGGGUUCACCUGUUCCUGGCCCCAGUUUCUCACCUGUAGUUGGACAACCUUUGCAAAUACUAAAUUUGAGGUUGGUUUCUUGACCUGUUACUCCAGAUAGUCUGUUUUCAGUUCAACCUUGGACAAGCUUGAUGUUGCAGAGUCAGAGUUCACCCACUGAGCCUCAGAAGACCUGAAACAAGACUCCGCUGUCGCUUUGAUCCCAAGAUGUCAGCCCUUGCCCCAGGAAUGCUGAGUCGUCUUCUUGGUCAUCAACAGAGGAGAGAAUGUGGAGCUAGCAGGGCUCUGUCACUGUCUCCCCUUCCUCUGGGCAGUAGUGCCUUUGACAGUUGAGGACAGCAUCCACCCCACCACUCCAGAAGUGGGUGGCAUGAAUUUUCCACUGCCUGCCAUGGCUUCUAUAGCUGAGUCUUUUUCAAACCCCCAUUCUUUGUGCUGGACGUGGGGUUGCUGGACUGGUGUUUCCUCUCUUUCCCUUCCUCCUGGAGCUGGCCUCUUCAUUUCCUCAGGACAGACUGGCUGCACACUGUUCCUGCCUUGGCUCUUCCCGCUGGUCUCUGGAGUCUCCCAGUGAUUUGUAUAAAGGUGUUGGGGGAGACUAAGGAUUAUCCUUACUCCCAACCUUUUUCCUUAAAAAAGGAAAAAAGCACAACGAGCACACAAUGUAAAUUUGAGCCAGUCUCAGAUAAAAGUUCUCUAAGUGUUGUAGAAGAGCCCUAGUGUUUGUGAAGCAGAAAGGCUGGGGCUGCCCCCCCCCCCCCAGCAGCUGCUCUCUGACUCCCUCACUUAGGGUUGAGGGAAUAGCGAGGGCCUGGCCCUUUUUUAAGACAAAGGGGCAGCCAUGUUAGGAGAGUGGACCUUAGCAGGACCCUACUCACUGCCAGGUCUUCGGUUAUUACUAUUCUGCAAUUUGGAAUGUAUCCUCAGUUUUUUCUAGAUAUAAAGAAUUAUCAAAUGAUUUUAGACCAUUCUCCAAAGGAGAUUUCUUUGUUCUUCCUAUAUUUUCCAACAGUAUUCUGCUCUUUGUGGAGCUACGGUGGAGGGAGAUGUUUGUGUCUGUUUAACAGGCAGUCUGUAUCUAUGAGGCUAGAGAAUAUUUUCUUAAACUCCUAGGGAGCCACAGACUUCCCUCUGUACGGUUGUCGCCAUGUCACCUGGCCUGCCCUUACUCUGCAGAGAAGCUGGAAAUGGGGCCACGGAGCCCUCUCCUUCCUCUCAGUUGUGGCCCAUCUGGUCCUGGCUGGUGGGGCAGUGCAUGGUGUUUCAGGCUGGCUGUUGAAAUCCCACAUUAGUUCCUUCCCUGUCCCGUCCCACCUUGAUAGCAGGUUAGCCAACCCCCACGUAACUGUCUAUAUUAGACACCCCCAGCCAGCUUCUGGCUGCCUGUCUUUGCUGCCAUGUUCUUUUUUACAAGAAGGAAAGAAACAAUUUCUUGCUAUUUUUUUUCAUAAUUUACUAUUUAUGAUGUAUUUAAGUGUUUUAUUCAGGACAGGGUUCUGUAAGGGGUGGGAGGGAGUAUUUGAGGGAGGGCUGGGACUUAGGGAAAGGACAUGGGAGUCAACAUUUUUAUGGAGUGUUACUAUUUGCCUCUACUUUGUAUUGUUGAAAAAUGACAGAUGCAAUAUAAAAGUAAUAAAUAUCUGGUUUUAAUGUA